AUGUUGUUUUUAGGGUGUACGAACUAUAUGUGUCCGCCCCAUCGAUAACCCCGCUGUUUUCAGCGCCGAUACCUCUCCUGCUUAUGCGCUGUGAUAACCUUGACGCCACGCUAUUGUUCACGGAGAGCGUUCUAAUCUAUUCCGCAUUAUGACAUCUGCGACGCGGCACUGCACCCGUAGGGGUUUGUUAGAAAUCGCCAAGUCCGCUUAUGUUGCCGGACGCCGAAAAAACUACGGAAGGUUAGUCAUGUACAGCUGUCGCUGUAAAAUAAUGCGGUUUAACUUUGUGAUUUUGUGCAAAUAGUAACGCAGCUGUGUGAAACACACUCCCACAACCAGGAUAUGUUGGCGUCCCUCGAGAACUCUAUGUUUUGCAACUUGGAGGCACGCAGGCAGGUAGAGUGCCGUUCUGUGAACGGUGCUUGGUUAGAAUUCUUAGGUUGGCACCAACUAUAUUUAUUGAAGCGUGUGCCACAUCAGCCACACAGCAGGAUACGGAAGAAUCGAUAAAGGUUGGAAGGCAGUACAUAUCAACAGAUAGCUGAUCCACCCUCAAGGGCAGGCCGCCCAAGGGAUACAUCAACGAGAGAGAGUACGAGGAGAUACCCAUUCAAAGAAUGGUGGCGCCAUCCCCAUCAAUAAAGAAAUCGGGGUCCUGGGACUCAACAUUCAGUCGAAGGGAACUAACGGUGAUUACCAAGCUCAUUACCAAGGUCGCUAUCGCCAUUAGGCUGAUAAGGAGAAUCAUGCACAACUAUCAGUGAAUUAAGG